rnacentral:rRNA from 1 species
AGAGUUUGAUCCUGGCUCAGGACGAACGCUGGCGGCGUGCUUAACACAUGCAAGUCAAGGGGGCCCGCAAGGGUAACCGGCGAACGGGUGCGUAACACGUGAGCAACCUGCCUUAGUGUGGGGGAUAGCCGGCCCAACGGCCGGGUAAUACCGCAUACCUUCUCUGGGUGGCAUCACCUGGUGAAGAAACUUUCGAGGCA